GACGAACGCUGGCGGCGUGCUUAACACAUGCAAGUCGAACGGAAAGGCCCUGCUUUUGUGGGGUGCUCGAGUGGCGAACGGGUGAGUAACACGUGAGUAACCUGCCCUUGACUUUGGGAUAACUUCAGGAAACUGGGGCUAAUACCGGAUAGGAGGUCCUGCUGCAUGGUGGGGGUUGGAAAGUUUCGGCGGUUGGGGAUGGACUCGCGGCUUAUCAGCUUGUUGGUGGGGUAGUGGCUUACCAAGGCUUUGACGGGUAGCCGGCCUGAGAGGGUGACCGGCCACAUUGGGACUGAGAUACGGCCCAGACUCCUACGGGAGGCAGCAGUGGGGAAUAUUGCACAAUGGGCGGGAGCCUGAUGCAGCAACGCCGCGUGCGGGAUGACGGCCUUCGGGUUGUAAACCGCUUUCGCCUGUGACGAAGCGUGAGUGACGGUAAUGGGUAAAGAAGCACCGGCUAACUACGUG
rnacentral:rRNA from 1 species